rnacentral:rRNA from 1 species
UACGUAGGGUGCGAGCGUUGUCCGGAAUUAUUGGGCGUAAAGGGCUCGUAGGCGGUCUGUUGCGUCGGGAGUGAAAACUCAGGGCUUAACCCCGAGCCUGCUUCCGAUACGGGCAGACUAGAGGUAGGCAGGGGAGAGCGGAACUCCUGGUGUAGCGGUGGAAUGCGCAGAUAUCAGGAAGAACACCGGUGGCGAAGGCGGCUCUCUGGGCCUUACCUGACGCUGAGGAGCGAAAGCGUGGGUAGCGAACAGG